UACGGAGGGUGCAAGCGUUAUCCGGAUUCACUGGGUUUAAAGGGUGCGUAGGCGGGCAUUUAAGUCAGUGGUGAAAUACCUGAGCUUAACUUGGGAACUGCCAUUGAUACUAUUUGUCUUGAAUGUCGUGGAGGUUAGCGGAAUAUGUCAUGUAGCGGUGAAAUGCUUAGACAUGACAUAGAACACCUAUUGCGAAGGCAGCUAACUACGCGAAUAUUGACGCUGAGGCACGAAAGCGUGGGGAUCAAACAGG
rnacentral:rRNA from 1 species